CCUACGGGAGGCAGCAGUGGGGAAUAUUGCACAAUGGGGGGAACCCUGAUGCAGCGACGCCGCGUGAGUGAAGAAGUCUUUCGGUAUGUAAAGCUCUAUCAGCAGGGAAGAAGAUUACGUUGCCUGCCUACACAGCCCCGGCUAACUCCGUGCCAGCAGCCGCGGUACUACGUAGGGGGCAGGCGUUAUCCGGAUUUACUGGGUGUAAAGGGAGCGUAGACGGGAGGGAAAGUCUGGUGUGAAAGCCCGGGGCCCAACCCCGGGACUGCUUUGGAAACUGCUAGGCUAGAGUGCUGGAGAGGUAAGCGGAAUUCCUAGUGUAGCGGUGAAAUGCGUAGAUAGUAGGAGGAACACCAGUGGCGAAGGCGGCUGACUGGACAGUAACUGACGUUGAGGCGCGAAAGCGUGGGGAGCAAACAGGAUUAGAUACCCGAGUAGUC
rnacentral:rRNA from 1 species